rnacentral:rRNA from 1 species
GACAGAGGGGGCAAGCGUUGCUCGGAAUCACUGGGCGUAAAGGGCGCGUAGGCGGGAUGGCAAGUCAGUCGUGAAAUCUCUCGGCUCAACCGAGAAACGUCGGCUGAUACUGCCGUUCUUGAGGGAUGCAGAGGAGACUGGAAUUCCCGGUGUAGCGGUGAAAUGUGUAGAGAUCGGGAGGAACACCGGUGGCGAAGGCGGGUCUCUGGGCAUUUCCUGACGCUGAGGCGCGAAAGCGUGGGGAGCAAACGGGAUUAGAAACCCCAUAGUCC